rnacentral:rRNA from 1 species
CGAAACCGAUAGCGAACAAGUACCGUGAGGGAAAGUUGAAAAGUACUCUGAAUAGAGAGUUAAAUAGUACGUGAAACCGCUUAGGGGUUAAGCCCGAUGAACCCGAAUAUCUGAUGUGAGAAAUUCAAUACUGUUCAUUCAACGGAUAGUAUGCACUUUUCUCAUAGUAAGACAUUGUAAUCCAUUGAUGCUAUAUCUCUUUCAUAUACGGGAGAGAUGAUUUAACAUACGGACAAGAUGUAUAUGUUUAUUCUAUCAGUGAUGUGUUUACAUGUCAUAUGAAUAAGAUCGUUUUGUACCUGUUUAAAUAGUCGAUGGAUUUUAACUGAAUCAUGCUUGCAAUUUAUUUUGCGUUUCGUGUUAUCGGCCAUUUUGGUUGGUAAUAGCAGAAAUGGCAUGCAUUCGAUUAACAAUGCGAUAGAUUUGGGAUACUUUCAGGACCCGUCUUGA